UACGUAGGUGGCUAGCGUUGUCCGGAAUCAUUGGGCGUAAAGCGCGUGUAGGCGGUUCGGUAAGUCCGCUGUGAAAGUCGGGGGCUCAACCCUCGGAUGCCGGUGGAUACUGUCGGACUAGAGUACGGAAGAGGCGAGUGGAAUUCCUGGUGUAGCGGUGAAAUGCGCAGAUAUCAGGAGGAACACCAAUUGCGAAGGCAGCUCGCUGGGACGUUACUGACGCUGAGACGCGAAAGCGUGGGGAGCAAACAGG
rnacentral:rRNA from 1 species